AGAGAAAACCGUCGGCGCAAGCCGGCUUAAUCUACCCACACACACCUGUGAACCGUUAUAUCCGGGAUGAGGAUUAGCCUCGUGCGAAACCGUCCCAUUUACAAAACGUCUUAUAAUGUCAUGAACGUAGUCUUAUUUUAACAAAUA
rnacentral:misc_RNA from 1 species